rnacentral:rRNA from 1 species
CAAUUUAAACAACGAAGAGUUUGAUCCUGGCUCAGGAUGAACGCUAGCGACAGGCUUAACACAUGCAAGUCGAGGGGCAGCACAGGUAGCAAUACCGGGUGGCGACCGGCGCACGGGUGAGUAACGCGUAUGCAACUUACCUAUCAGAGGGGGAUAACCCGGCGAAAGUCGGACUAAUACCGCAUGAAGCAGGGGCCCCGCAUGGGGAUAUUUGCUAAAGAUUCAUCGCUGAUAGAUAGGCAUGCGUUCCAUUAGGCAGUUGGCGGGGUAACGGCCCACCAAACCGACGAUGGAUAGGGGUUCUGAGAGGAAGGUCCCCCACAUUGGUACUGAGACACGGACCAAACUCCUACGGGAGGCAGCAGUGAGGAAUAUUGGUCAAUGGGCGCGAGCCUGAACCAGCCAAGUCGCGUGAGGGAUGAAGGUUCUAUGGAUCGUAAACCUCUUUUAUAAGGGAAUAAAGUGCGGGACGUGUCCCGUUUUGUAUGUACCUUAUGAAUAAGGAUCGGCUAACUCCGUGCCAGCAGCCGCGGUAAUACGGAGGAUCCGAGCGUUAUCCGGAUUUAUUGGGUUUAAAGGGUGCGUAGGCGGCCUUUUAAGUCAGCGGUGAAAGUCUGUGGCUCAACCAUAGAAUUGCCGUUGAAACUGGGGGGCUUGAGUAUGUUUGAGGCAGGCGGAAUGCGUGGUGUAGCGGUGAAAUGCUUAGAUAUCACGCAGAACCCCGAUUGCGAAGGCAGCCUGCCAAGCCAUGACUGACGCUGAUGCACGAAAGCGUGGGGAUCAAACAGGAUUAGAUACCCUGGUAGUCCACGCAGUAAACGAUGAUCACUAGCUGUUUGCGAUACAGUGUAAGCGGCACAGCGAAAGCGUUAAGUGAUCCACCUGGGGAGUACGCCGGCAACGGUGAAACUCAAAGGAAUUGACGGGGGCCCGCACAAGCGGAGGAACAUGUGGUUUAAUUCGAUGAUACGCGAGGAACCUUACCCGGGUUUGAACGCAUUUCGACCGCUCUGGAAACAGAGCCUCUAGCAAUAGCGAUUUGCGAGGUGCUGCAUGGUUGUCGUCAGCUCGUGCCGUGAGGUGUCGGCUUAAGUGCCAUAACGAGCGCAACCCUUGCCACUAGUUACUAACAGGUGAUGCUGAGGACUCUGGUGGGACUGCCAGCGUAAGCUGCGAGGAAGGCGGGGAUGACGUCAAAUCAGCACGGCCCUUACAUCCGGGGCGACACACGUGUUACAAUGGCGUGGACAAAGGGAAGCCACCUGGCGACAGGGAGCGAAUCCCCAAACCACGUCUCAGUUCGGAUCGGAGUCUGCAACCCGACUCCGUGAAGCUGGAUUCGCUAGUAAUCGCGCAUCAGCCAUGGCGCGGUGAAUACGUUCCCGGGCCUUGUACACACCGCCCGUCAAGCCAUGGGAGCCGGGGGUACCUGAAGUCCGUAACCGCGAGGAUCGGCCUAGGGUAAAACUGGUGACUGGGGCUAAGUCGUAACAAGGUAGCCGUACCGGAAGGUGCGGCUGGAACACCUCCUUUCUGGA